rnacentral:rRNA from 1 species
CGAACGGGUGAGUAACACGUGGGUGACCUGCCCUCAGCUCUGGGAUAAGCCCGGGAAACUGGGUCUAAUACCGGAUAUGACCUGCUGUUGCAUGACAGUGGGUGGAAAGUUUUUCGGCUGGGGAUGGGCCCGCGGCCUAUCAGCUUGUUGGUGGGGUGAUGGCCUACCAAGGCGACGACGGGUAGCCGGCCUGAGAGGGCGACCGGCCACACUGGGACUGAGAUACGGCCCAGACUCCUACGGGAGGCAGCAGUGGGGAAUAUUGCGCAAUGGGCGAAAGCCUGACGCAGCGACGCCGCGUGGGGGAUGACGGCCUUCGGGUUGUAAACCUCUUUCGACCGGGACGAAGGGUGACUGACGGUACCGGUAGAAGAAGCACCGGCCAACUACGUGCCAGCAGCCGCGGUAAUACGUAGGGUGCGAGCGUUGUCCGGAAUUAUUGGGCGUAAAGAGCUCGUAGGCGGUGUGUCACGUCGGUCGUGAAAACUUGGGGCUCAACCCUGAGCGUGCGGUCGAUACGGGCAUCACUUGAGUUCGGCAGGGGAGACUGGAAUUCCUGGUGUAGCGGUGAAAUGCGCAGAUAUCAGGAGGAACACCGGUGGCGAAGGCGGGUCUCUGGGCCGAUACUGACGCUGAGGAGC